rnacentral:rRNA from 1 species
AUUGAACGCUGGCGGCAGGCUUAACACAUGCAAGUCGAGCGCGCGGCGGACGGGUGAGUAAUGUCCGGGAAACUGCCUGAUGGAGGGGGAUAACUACUGGCAACGGUAGCUCAUACCGCAUAACAGCAGAUGUGCCCAGAUGGGAUUCGCUAGUAGGUGGGGUAGUGGCUCACCUAGGCGACGAUCCCUAGCGGGUCUGCGAGGAUGACCAGCCACACUGGAACUGAUACACGGUCCAGACUCCUACGGGGGGCAGCAUUGGGGAAUAUUGCACAAUGGGCGCAAGCCUGAUACAGCCAUGCCGCGUGGGUGAAGAAGGCCUUCGGGUUGUAAAGCACUUUCAGCGAGGAGGCGUUACUCGCAGAAGAAGCACCGGCUAACUCCGUGCCAGCAGCCGCGGUAAUAC